rnacentral:misc_RNA from 1 species
GGAUGAAGAACGCAGCGAAAUGCGAUAAGUAAUGUGAAUUGCAGAAUUCAGUGAAUCAUCGAAUCUUUGAACGCACCUUGCGCCCUUUGGCCAUUCCGAAGGGCAUGCCUGUUUGAGUAUCAUGAACACCUCAACUCUUCAUGGUUUUCCGUGAUGAGCUUGGACUUUGGGGGUCUUGCUGGCCUAUGGUCAGCUCCUCUAAAAUAAAUCAGCUUGCCAGUGUUUGGUGGGUAUCACAGGUGUGAUAACUAUCUACGCUUGUGGUUUUCCACCAGGUAACCUUCAGCAGUGGAGGUUCGCUGGAGCUCACAGAUGUGUCUCUCCUCAGUGAGGACAGCUCUUUGAAUGUUUGAUCUCAAAUCAGGUAGGACUACCCGCUGAACUUAAGCAUAUCAAUAAGCGGAGGA